GCGGCGUGCCUAAUACAUGCAAGUCGAGCGGACAGAAGGGAGCUUGCUCCCGGAUGUUAGCGGCGGACGGGUGAGUAACACGUGGGUAACCUGCCUGUAAGACUGGGAUAACUCCGGGAAACCGGAGCUAAUACCGGAUAGUUCCUUGAACCGCAUGGUUCAAGGAUGAAAGACGGUUUCGGCUGUCACUUACAGAUGGACCCGCGGCGCAUUAGCUAGUUGGUGGGGUAAUGGCUCACCAAGGCGACGAUGCGUAGCCGACCUGAGAGGGUGAUCGGCCACACUGGGACUGAGACACGGCCCAGACUCCUACGGGAGGCAGCAGUAGGGAAUCUUCCGCAAUGGACGAAAGUCUGACGGAGCAACGCCGCGUGAGUGAUGAAGGUUUUCGGAUCGUAAAGCUCUGUUGUUAGGGAAGAACAAGUGCGAGAGUAACUGCUCGCACCUUGACGGUACCUAACCAGAAAGCCACGGCUAACUACGUGCCAGCAGCCGCGGUAAUACGUAGGUGGCAAGCGUUGUCCGGAAUUAUUGGGCGUAAAGGGCUCGCAGGCGGUUUCUUAAGUCUGAUGUGAAAGCCCCCGGCUCAACCGGGGAGGGUCAUUGGAAACUGGGAAACUUGAGUGCAGAAGAGGAGAGUGGAAUUCCACGUGUAGCGGUGAAAUGCGUAGAGAUGUGGAGGAACACCAGUGGCGAAGGCGACUCUCUGGUCUGUAACUGACGCUGAGGAGCGAAAGCGUGGGGAGCGAACAGGAUUAGAUACCCUGGUAGUCCACGCCGUAAACGAUGAGUGCUAAGUGUUAAGGGGGUUUCCGCCCCUUAGUGCUGCAGCUAACGCAUUAAGCACUCCGCCUGGGGAGUACGGUCGCAAGACUGAAACUCAAAGGAAUUGACGGGGGCCCGCACAAGCGGUGGAGCAUGUGGUUUAAUUCGAAGCAACGCGAAGAACCUUACCAGGUCUUGACAUCCUCUGACAACCCUAGAGAUAGGGCUUUCCCUUCGGGGACAGAGUGACAGGUGGUGCAUGGUUGUCGUCAGCUCGUGUCGUGAGAUGUUGGGUUAAGUCCCGCAACGAGCGCAACCCUUGAUCUUAGUUGCCAGCAUUCAGUUGGGCACUCUAAGGUGACUGCCGGUGACAAACCGGAGGAAAGGUGGGGAUGACGUCAAAUCAUCAUGCCCCUUAUGACCUGGG
rnacentral:rRNA from 1 species